rnacentral:rRNA from 1 species
CAAUAGCGUAUAUUAAAGUUGUUGCAGUUAAAAAGCUCGUAGUUGGAUUUCUGGUGGGAGCGAUCGGUCUGGCGCUUAGCGCGAGUACUUGCAUCGUCUCCGGCCAUCCUUGGGGAGAGUCUGUCUGGCAUUAGGUUGUCGGGCAGAGGAUCCUCAUCGUUUACUGUGAAAAAAUUAGAGUGUUCAAAGCAGGCUUAUGCCGUUGAAUAUAUUAGCAUGGAAUAAUAAGAUAGGACUUUGGUACUAUUUUGUUGGUUUGCGCACCAUAGUAAUGAUUAAUAGGGACAGUUGGGGGUAUUCGUAUUCCGUUGUCAGAGGUGAAAUUCUUGGAUUUACGGAAGACGAACUACUGCGAAAGCAUUUACCAAGGAUGUUUUCAUUAA